GUCCGCUUCCCUGGUGUAGGGGUGCUGCCUGGAGUACCCACUGGUGCUGGAGUCAAGCCGAAAGGUCCAGGAGCAGGAGCCUUCGCAGGAAUCCCUGGACUGGGAGGUUUUGGAGGUCAGCAGCCUGGUGUCCCUCUGGGGUAUCCCAUCAAAGCUCCUAAGCUCCCAGG